UUGACGGUAUCUACUAUCUAAAGAAUCUUGGAGUAACAUGAUCCAUGACCUACAACUUACCCAAAAAAAUUGGAUUUGGAGAGGACUUAUUUCCUUUUUCUAACUGGUAGGGUUCCGGGUCGGCGCGCGAAAUCACUACUAGAUCAUAAAUGAGCAGGUGUGGGUUUAAUCUUGGAUAUGAAAUUGCACUUUAGCAAGCUUUAUCAUCAAUUAGUUUAUGACAGUUAUACAUUCUAAACUUUAAUUUCAUUGUGAUUAUGAAGAUAUUUUGUGAAGUUAAGUUUGAUCCUAUUAUUCAUGAUUUUUGAAUACCAUGUUUUGCUUGCUACUUGGUUCCAAGAACGUUCAUGGUUCUUCAAUUUUUUUCAUAGUUCACUUAGAAGGGAAAAGUUGAAAGAGACUAGAGGGUAAUGGACAGGGUGAUCCAAUAGACAUUCUAGCUAGUUUCAUCAUUAAUUACUUUAUGACUCAUAUAUCCUAAAUUUUCAAUCUAUUGUGAUUGUGGAGAUAUAACGCAUAUGUCGACAUCUAGCUCAUAGUAGAUAUGAUGCAUAUAAUAGAAUAUUUUAUUCAUGAAAGUUGGAAAAUACAAGCAGGAAUCCACAUUUUUUACUUUGUUUUUUAAUUAGUUCGCAUGGUGAGGGGGCGUGCAUUUGCAUUUACCAUGAAUCCACCAAUUUCCGCCGAUUCUAUUAUUGUUGUUGGAUUGGUCAUAAAACUUGCUUCUAUUUGAUUUGAAGUUGGUCAAGGUAUUGCUGCAGCCAAGCUGUAUCAUUUAACAUAAUAGACAAUCUAUUUGGUUAGAAAACAUAGUAAAUACAAAUAUAA
rnacentral:lncRNA from 1 species